rnacentral:rRNA from 1 species
UACAGAGGGUGCAAGCGUUGUUCGGAAUUAUUGGGCGUAAAGGGCGUGUAGGCGGUGAAGUGUGUCCGUUGUGAAAACCCUGGGCUUAACCCAGGAAGUGCAGCGGAAACUGCUUUGCUAGAGUACGAUAGGGGAUAGCGGAAUUCCAAGUGUAGAGGUGAAAUUCGUAGAUAUUUGGAGGAACACCAGCGGCGAAGGCGGCUAUCUGGAUCGUAACUGACGCUGAGACGCGAAAGCGUGGGGAGCAAACAGG